rnacentral:misc_RNA from 1 species
GGAAGCAAAAGUCGUAACAAGGUCUCCGUAGGUGAACCUGCGGAGGGAUCAUUACAGAGUUCAUGCCCUACCGGGUAGAUCUCCCACCCUAUGUUAUUAUUACUUUGUUGCUUUGGCGGGCCGUUAGGCUCCGGCCCGACUACCGGCCCCGGCUGGUAAGCGCCCGCCAGAGGACCCAAAACCCUGAAUAUUAGUGUCGUCUGAGUACUAUAUAAUAGUUAAAACUUUCAACAACGGAUCUCUUGGUUCUG